UUUGGCUUCGACGGGGGUAAGUGAGGUUUGGUAAGCGAGCCGAGGGAAGCAUGGUGCCUCGAUAAUAAAGUAUGCAUUAAAGAUAAACGCAGAAGACAAUUUUGCAUUAGCAGCUUAAUAUAGACUGCUCAUCAGCCCUAGAUUGCCCACGGUCUAGGAUCCUGGUGUCAUUAUUAGUGGGGAACCGAGCUUAGCAAAGCUUUGAGCUAGGAACGGAACUUAUGAAGCUAGCGAUCUAGUUACCUGUCUGUAGGUGUUCUAGAAAGCGAAUUUUAAUAUACAGACUACGCUCGUAGAAAGCCGGACGGAGCUACUUUCGGACAGGGGUUCGAUUCUU
rfam:Clostridium baratii str. Sullivan, complete genome.